rnacentral:lncRNA from 1 species
UCUAGUAAAGUCUUGUGCAUGGGUGUAUUGCGUGCCACAUUUAUGUACAAAAGGCUACAAGAUGUUCUCAGGAGUAAUUUCCCUUCUUUCAAUUUUCAUGUCAUGCGAGUGAGUAUGAGCUCAAGUUGAUCCUCAGUGUAAUCCACUUCAUUCUUCCAUUUACGGAGUAUGCCUUAUCGCAGAGAUGAUGCCUCUAGGUUUGGUGACCAUCCACCUCAGCCAGUA